GAAUAAUAAAUCAGAAUAAGGCUUAUAUAUCAAUACUAGUACUAAUUAUGUCUUAUUUUUCAAAAUUAAUUUAAUAAUUUUUCCUUCGUCUUGUUUUGUUUUUCUCCUUAGCAAUAACAUGGAAGGUAAUCGUAAGGAGGAAUGUUUGGUAGAUGACAUGGUAUUCGAGAUACUAACGUGGGUUCCAGCUAAGUCUCUCUUGCGAUUUAAAUGUGUUUGUAAAGCUUGGAAUGAUUUGAUACGACAUGAUUUGAUCUUUGUCAAGUCGUUCUAGAGACCGUCCUCUAGCCACCCGUCUUUUAUACCAAAUGUAUAUAAAAACACCUCAUAUUCCCCAACACUACGUAAACGAUUCAACAAGGUUUACUAAUAACCAACCACCACUUGAACUAUUCCCUUUACAGCUAGUAGGUAGUCGUAAUUAUUUCGGGUAUGGCGACAUUUUUAUUUGCUCAAAUCAUUGCAAUGGGCUUGUUUGUUUGUACAACGGUAAAGAUAGUCAAGGUUUCCUGUAUAACAUAACGACAGGGGAAAUAAAAGCAUUGUCAUUUUCAACGAAGAUGGGAUCGUCCAGAAGUGUAUCUAGGAUAUGAUCCAGCUACAGAGAGAUACAAAUUGCUUCGUAAUCGUAUUUACUACAAGAAAAGGCCAUGUAUAAAGAUUCGAACUCUAGGAACUGACACAUCAUGGAGAAGAAUUUGUGAAAAUAGCCCUGGUAAACUUAACAAUUUGUGGUCUGAUCGUACGUUCGUCAAUGGGGCACUUUAUUGGGCUAAUGCUAACGUUGAUUUUAUCACAUAUUUCAACUUAACAGAGGAGAAGUUUGGAACUCUAACACCUCCGGAAAGGAGUCGAGUUAACGCAAUUCAGAGUGCAUUAUGCGGAAAGUUGAUUGUGCAGCCACGCGACCAACCUGGAAACUGCAAUUUGGUGGCAUACGACGAGAUCAACAAGGUUUUUGUAAAAUUUGAUUCGGAUCCUGAUUUGUUGGCGGAGGAGAAAUUUGUAGUUCUUGAAGCAGAAAACAUUGAAGAAAGAAGAGAUAAUGGAAGAUAUAUAUUGGCAACAUCAAGCCUGACCUCAACAUAUUUGGUGUUUGCCUAUCAUUUUUGGCCAAGAUAUGUUGGCAUAUUUGUUGAAAACAUUAUUCCAUUAUCAUUUAUUAUUGACCUUUAGUCUUUAGACAAUUUCAGAGUUUUUCAAGUAUCUGAGUAGUUUUGUUGAUGUUAAUGCCUUUAAAUUUUAUUCACUAGUUUCUGAGAACGUGUCUUGCACGUUUGUCCUUACAAAUAUUUUUCAUUUUUUUCUCUAACAGAUGCUCAAACAAAGAUCAAACUAAAGCACUAAUUUUAUAUUUUUUAAGAAAAAACAUAGGUAACAAUUUUCCAAAGCAAUAUUAUCCUCAAAAAAUUUCAUCCAUUUCGUUUUGAAAAUUUCGGGUCACAAAAAUUUCAUGGACUAUAUCACAUAAAAAUCGAUAAAUUAUGUGUUUACCUGCUUUGAGACUCGUUUGAACUUGAAAAUGCACCCAUUUUUCCCGCGUAACGAACUGGGUCCAUUGCUAAGGUCUUCGCGUACGUGCAUGAAAAAUUUUGGCCAUUUCAUUUCAUAAUUUCAGGUCACAAAAUUUCAUGGACUUUAACACAUGAAAAUCAGCAAAAUCUGUGUUUUACCUGUUUUAGGGCUCGUUUUAACUUGAAAAUGCGUCAGUUUUCUCCGUGGGAUGCACUGGGUCCAUUGUUAAGGUCUUAACGGACGUCCAUGAAAUUUUUUGAUCAUUUCAUUUCGAAAAUUUUCGAUCACAAAAUUUUCAUAGACUAUAUCACACGAAAAUUGACAAUACCUGCUUUAGGCCCGUUUAAAUUCAAAAAUGCAUAUAUUUUCCCCGCGGGAUGAACUGGGUCCUGAGGCUUGAGGGUUGAGCCUAUGAGGCUAGCAGGUCAAAUGAUGCUGGGUUCAAAAGCUUCUUUUCUAUAUGGGACAAUAAACUUAGCGGGCCAAGUCCAUUUUAACAGCUCUAGGCAUGAAUGAGACUUUUCUCAAACAGAAAUUGCAUAGAUAAACCAAACUUUUAAUAAAUAAUAUAACUACAUCUUUUUUUUUAAAAUUUGAUGACAUAUUUAAAUUUUUUUCUAAUAAAUAAAAGACAAAAUUUGUUGUCUUAACCACAAUUUUGGAUGAAUUUAAUUAAAUUUGAUCAAUGUAAGUAAGUUUAUUGUAAGCAUUUUUCAUUGUUCACCAAUAAACAAAAUAGUUAAGUAAAUCCUUUUUCGAAAAUUUUAAAGUGGGAAAGAAAUUUAAGUAAGUUUAUUGUAAGCAUUUUUCAUUGUUCUCCAAUAAACAAAAUAGUUAAGUAAAAUCUUUUUCCAAAAUUCAAAGUGGCAAAGAAAUUUACCCUUAUCAAAAUUGGAAAUAAACAUGUGGCAAGUAAUUAAUGAUUUUAGGUAUUAUAAAUAGUCACAAUAAGAAACAUUCUAAAGUCAAAAAAGAAGAAAACUUUUCUUUACACAAAAAAACAUGGCUAAAGCUUCAACCAUUCUUUUGUAUUUGGCCAUUUUAUUGAUCUUUUCAUCUGAUGUCAUUUUGAUGGGAAAAGCAUGUACUUUGGCAUCAGAGUGUCCAACUCGAUGUAGGGUUGGAAUUCCACAAUGUGUUGAUGGUGUGUGUAUUUGUUGUGUUGGUCCAACAUGUCAAGGUGAUCAAGAAAACAUUAAUCUAGGUCAAAUAUUAUGAUCUUUCAAGAUUAUUAAAGCUUUUUAGAGUUUAUUAUAUGUCAAUCCAAAAUAUGAUUAUUGGAUAUUAAUAAAGAUUAUUAUAUUUUAUCAAAAUAGUUGACUAUUUAUAAAAUCGUUUCAUAUUGUAAAGUUUUGACUAGUAUCUUUAUAACUUACAAUCAUUAUAUUUUACUGUUACUGUCGAUCUAGCAUUUAUAAUUGUCGAUCAUUAGUAUUAAAAAUAUGCUUUUAUCAAACAAACAAUUAUAUAUUAUUCGUGAUGGAGCUAGAAUUUUCAAUACGAGACCCUUCGUAAGGGGUUGGGGGAGCAGUACCUAUAGUUUCUCUUUACUCUUAUGAAUAAUUGGGCCUUGCCCGAUUUAAUCUAAAAAAGAAAAGAGUUAAGGAAUAGUACAUACAGUCUCACCAUAAUUCGAGGAAUAUUUGGGCAUUUUGGAGCCAUUUUAUAGGAAUUAGAAGAUUUUUUCAUUCUUUUUUUUGUGUGUGUUUAUUAGCCAUAGCCAUAAAUAUAUUAUGAAAUGGCUUUUGGAUUAUUUUUUUGAAAAAAAACUUUACGAGAUUCUCCUUAAGCAGUUGGGGAGCAGUAGGUAUAGCUGCACCAUGACUUGCGGCAUUUUUAGGCAUUUAAGAGUCAUUUUAUAUGAAUUAGGCAGUUUUUUUUUUAAUUUUUCGUGUGUUAGCUAGUGAAUAAUUGAUGAAAUGAAUUUCAGGUGAUAGUUUUUAAUAAACUUUACGAGCCCAUCUGUAAAGAGUUGGAGAGCAAAAUGUAUAGUCUCACCAUGAUUCGAGACAUUUUUUGGAUAUUUAGUAGCCAAUUUAUAGGAUCUUUUUCAAUUUUUCGUGUGUGUGAGCCCAUAAAUAUUUGGUGAAAUGACUUUUGAGAGAUCUUUUAGAAAACUUUACAAGACCCUCCAUAAGGUGUUGGGGAGUAGUACGUAUAGCUUCACCAUGAACCAAAGCAUUUUUUGGCAGUUAGGGCCACUUUAAAGAAAUUAGAUGAUUUUUUUUCUCAAUUUUUCGUGUGUGUUAACCAAUAAAUAUUUGAUGAAAUAAAUAUUGGGCAAUUUUUUUUUAUAGAACUUUAUGAGACCCUCUCUAAAGAGUUUGGGGAGCAGUAUGUAUAGCCGGACCAUCAUCUGAGGAAUUUUUUUUGGUAUUUAGGAGCCUUUUAUAGGAAUUAUGCAAUUUUUUUAAAUAUUUCGCGUGUGUCAACCAUGAAUAUUUAUAUAAAUGACUUCUUAGAGAACUUUGAAAUACUUUUUUACAAGAUCCAACGUAUGGAUUUGGGGGAACCGUACGUAUAGCCUGACCAUGGUCCGUGACAUUACCUACUAAUAUUUGGUGAAAUUGAUUUCAAG